rfam:Clostridium sp. CAG:524 genomic scaffold, scf25
UUUUUUAGACAAACGCUGCAUGUGAAUGUAGAGGAAAGUCCAUGCUCACUCAUUCUGGAAUGAAUGAAAGUGUUCGUGCUAGGGGAAUAAAUAACCCUAGGUAGUACGAAAGUACUAACGGCGGUGAGGUAAUCAAGACCUGAUUAUAUUAGCCAUAAAGUGCCAUAGAGACGAGAUAGUUAGGAAUAACUAUUGUGGAACGCGGUAAACCCCACGAGUGAGAAACCCAAAUUUGGUAGGGGAGCGCUUACGAAUGAACAAAUAAAAGAGUAAGUGAAGGAGAAAUCCUUAGAUAAAUGUUUGUCACCUUAAAGGUACAGAACAUGGCUUAUUAAA